rnacentral:rRNA from 1 species
GAAACGACUGCUAAGACUGGAUAGGAGACAAGAGGGCAUCUUCUUGUUUUUAAAAGACCUAGCAAUAGGUAUGCUUAGGGAGGAGCUUGCGUCACAUUAGUUAGUUGGUGGGGUAAAGGCCUACCAAGACUAUGAUGUGUAGCCGGGCUGAGAGGUUGAACGGCCACAUUGGGACUGAGACACGGCCCAAACUCCUACGGGAGGCAGCAGUAGGGAAUUUUCGGCAAUGGAGGAAACUCUGACCGAGCAACGCCGCGUGAACGAUGAAGUAUUUCGGUACGUAAAGUUCUUUUAUUAGGGAAGAAUAAAUGAUGGAAAAAUCAUUCUGACGGUACCUAAUGAAUAAGCCCCGGCUAACUAUGUGCCAGCAGCCGCGGUAAUACAUAGGGGGCAAGCGUUAUCCGGAAUUAUUGGGCGUAAAGGGUGCGUAGGCGGUUAAAUAAGUUUAUGGUCUAAGUGCAAUGCUCAACAUAGUGAUGCUAUAAAAACUGUUUAGCUAGAGUAAGAUAGAGGCAAGUGGAAUUCCAUGUGUAGUGGUAAAAUGCGUAAAUAUAUGGAGGAACACCAGUAGCGAAGGCGGCUUGCUGGGUCUUUACUGACGCUGAGGCACGAAAGCGUGGGGAGCAAACAGGAUUAGAUACCCUGGUAGUCCACGCCGUAAACGAUGAGUACUAAACGUUGGGUAAAACCAGUGUUGAAGUUAACACAUUAAGUACUCCGCCUGAGUAGUACGUACGCAAGUAUGAAACUUAAAGGAAUUGACGGGACUCCGCACAAGCGGUGGAUCAUGUUGUUUAAUUCGAAGGUACCCGAAAAACCUCACAGGUCUUGACAUGCUUCUGCAAAGCUGUAGAAACACAGUGGAGGUUAUCAGUUGCACAGGUGGUGCAUGGUUGUCGUCAGCUCGUGUCGUGAGAUGUUGGGUUAAGUCCCGCAACGAGCGCAACCCUUAUUGUUAGUUACCAGCACGUAAUGGUGGGGACUUUAGCAAGACUGCCAGUGAUAAAUUGGAGGAAGGUGGGGACGACGUCAAAUCAUCAUGCCCCUUAUGACCUGGGCUACAAACGUGAUACAAUGGCUGUUACAAAGGGUAGCUGAAGCGCAAGUUUUUGGCGAAUCUCAAAAAAACAGUCUCAGUUCGGAUUGAAGUCUGCAACUCGACUUCAUGAAGUUGGAAUCGCUAGUAAUCGCGAAUCAGCAUGUCGCGGUGAAUACGUUCUCGGGGUUUGUACACACCACCCGUCAAA